AGGUGUCACAGCAUCUGAUGAACCUGGUUUUGCAAUCGUAUGGACAAAAAGCACAAAAAGUUUACUGUUAGAAUAUUAGAAAUUCGUUCCAAGUCAAAAGACUAUGAAAACCAUCUCAGCGAACAAACAUCAUCAACAGAUGAAUCAGAGGAAAAUCACAGCAGUAUGACAAUAGACAGCCUUAAAUCUAUCCAGUCAACAGAAACUUACAGUAAAAAACUCAAAAAGAAACGUAUUCCACCUAUUUUGGUGAGGCAGAAAUACAUGGGGAGUUCUGCCAAUGGAUCCGUCGAUAUAAGGAUGAUUCCAGACAAUUAUCGGACAUUCCGGAAAGCACUUCCUAAUGAUUGCUUCUUUGUCAUUCCACACCGGAAGAUAUUUACAAAGUGUACCAUCAAUAUCGAAGACUACAACACGGCUUCUAGUUGAUGGAGAUGUAACAGCGUCUGAUGAUCCUGGUUUCACAUUCGUAUGGAAAGAAGCAACAAAAAGUUCAUUGUUAGAGAUUUGUUAUACUUGAAGUUUGAUAAUAAAUACCUAUUGUAAGAA